GAGUUUGAUCGUGGCUCAGAUUGAACGCUGGCGGCAGGCUUAACAUAUGCAAGUCGAGCGGGGGAGAUUGCUUCGGUAAUUGACCUAGCGGCGAACGGGUGAGUAAUACUUAGGAAUCUGCCUAUUAAUGGGGGACAACAUCUCGAAAGGGAUGCUAAUACCGCAUACGCCCUACGGGGAAAGCAGGGGAUCACUUGUGACCUUGCGUUAAUAGAUGAGCCUAAGUCGGAUUAGCUAGUUGGUGGGGUAAAGGCCUACCAAGGCGACGAUCUGUAGCGGGUCUGAGAGGAUGAUCCGCCACACUGGGACUGAGACACGGCCCAGACUCCUACGGGAGGCAGCAGUGGGGAAUAUUGGACAAUGGGGGGAACCCUGAUCCAGCCAUGCCGCGUGUGUGAAGAAGGCCUUAUGGUUGUAAAGCACUUUAAGCGAGGAGGAGGCUCCUGUAGUUAAUACCUACAGAGAGUGGACGUUACUCGCAGAAUAAGCACCGGCUAACUCUGUGCCAGCAGCCGACCGG
rnacentral:rRNA from 1 species